AGCUUCUAAUUAAAUCAUGAUUGCGCCUAAGCAGCGUUAUUAUGAGAGUGAAAGUGGAUGUGCUGCUACUUCCCACUUCCCUGGAUGAGCAACAAGCACCUGCAUAGAGUAAUGCAAGAGUGAGAUGAAACAUCUCAGCAAGCGAAUUGUUUUGACAAGAUAUUUAAACCACAAAUUGAAUUAAUCAACAUUUUAAAAGAAUCACAAUUAAGAUCAGAAAUACUUGUAGAUAUAGAACUCAGUAGUCCCAAUAUAACCAAUACCAUCUCAUUUCCUCGAACAACCACAAUAGGUUCUAUAACACUUCCCUGCGUCAACAAAACCUGCAAAUAUCACUUCAAUGUAUGCAUAGGAGUGCAAAGUGUAGGUACUCUAUCUUCAUACCUCUGAGGGUAUAAAACCACAUCAUCUGCAAAUAUCACUUCAAUGAAUGCAUAUGAAUGCAAUGCAUAUGUCCUCUGCCUUCAUACCUCUAAGGGUAUGAAGCCGCAUCGUACCCCUCCUCGGGCAACGUACGAUGCUAAGUUGUACCGGUAUGGUCGGACCAUAGGUCACGACCCAACUUCAUAUGCAAGUGAAUCAUGCAAUGUAUAUGGCAUGCUGCAUUUAUCAAUAUACUUCACUUCCUUCACAUACAAUACAACCUCAAAUAAUACUUCAUUUACCUUCAGAUACAAUACCAACCUCAAAUAAUACUUCAUUUACCUUCAGAUACAAUACCAACCUCAAAUAAUACUUUAUUUAUCUUCAGGGGUGUGAAUUAAUCUCAUGAGUCAUACUCGAAUCAUAAUCAUCAUCAAUAUAUGAUUGAGCAUCAGUAUAAUGCAAGCAAGUAAAGAAUCACCAUAGAGUCCAAUUAUGAAAAAAUCCAAUACUUCUGAAUAUUAGAGUGUAGGCAAUAGAAAUAACAGGUUAGACCGGAAGCAACCACCGCUACAUUCACUUGCCUUCAUCGAAGAAGAAAAAUGUACUAGGCAUGAUCUGGAGUGUAGCCACCUAGGGUUUCCUCAAGAAAAUCUGCAAGAGAUGGGGGUAGAACAUCUCCUUGAUCCUCUCUUCCUCUUCAAUCCAUCUUGCUCCUCCUCUUCUCGAUCCUUGCUGCGUGGGGGGAGAUCUAGAGGGAGGAGGAAGCAGUGGAGGACGGCUACAAGGGGAAGGGGGAGGGGCGGCCAAGGGUGGGGAAAGGGGGGGUUGGCGGCCAAGAAAAGGAAAAAAGGGAGGGGGCAACCACUAGGGUUUUGUGGGAGAAAGAAACAACGCCUCAGAUGUCUCCUGACUUUGCAUCCAACGGCCCACAACUCUUUCCCUCAUCCACGCACCGAAGAUCGACUUUUGGUCAAUAUUUUUUGGGAUAUUACACUCUACCCCCUUUAAAAAGAAUUCGUCCUCGAAUUCGACCACUCCAAGCAAAACACCCAAGGUACCCCAUAUAGCACCACCAUUCGAAACAUGGGUCCAUUAUUGUUCUUAAUUAACACAAGAACUUCUACCUUGGACUAAUUGUCUAAGGAAACUACACAACCUGACAUCAAGCAUGAAUCAACAUGUAAUGAAGCUCAAAUCAAGUCAUAGAUGCAAUCAACACUACGAUUUCACAACAUCGAAUUUGGAUGCAGCCAUACAUCAGCAUCAAUGUCUUAAACACUCUUUUAUGAAGGGGUAAUAUGCACUAAGCACAACCUUUACCAACUUCAACAAUUCAUUUUAAGUCAAUGGUGAAACAUCCACACUAGAUGAAUGUAUAAGAAGAUCAAACACCUCACCUCACAGCACCACAAAACAAGUAGUUCUAUUGAAACAAAACUCCUAAUCUUCCUAAACCUUGUUCUUGCCAUAAUGAAAAGAUAAUCAUGUAAUCUAACAUAAUUUGGACCCCACCAAAAGGGAGAAAAUCUACAGAACUAAUGGAGCAAUAAAGCCGACAAGAAGCCAAUAAAAUCUUGCGCGUCAUAGUUCAUCGAAGAAAUGCCAAAAAUUCUACAUAGAGCACUGGCAGCCCAACAACACAAUACUUGCUUAACCCAUGUCACUAUACUUCAUUCAGAAUCUCAACUAAGAAAAAUAUCCAACUAGUAAGGUUAACCUACACAUAAUAUAAGUCUUCAUCUAUUGUAGUUCAGAAACUUACAUUUCAUUCUAUCAUAUGAUGCACUCAAAGUACCAGACCUAAAGGGUCAAUACUAACCCCGUAAUCCUUCACACAAUUAGCAAACAUCUCAAGCUGAUGUAAAAACCACAUCAUUUAGGAAUAGGUGACCAACCACACACAGCCAACUCUAGGCUAGGCAAUGACUUCAUUCAAACAAAUAGAUAAGUGGUCCAACAAUGGUUCCACAAACAUGCAUCGGAGAGAGAACCAUCAGAUCCUCAACGUAUUAAUACAUAAUCAAUGGAUCAAGAAAAUCAAAGAUUUUAUUCUACAAUUAGCAUGACUAACAUGCAACCACUUUAAACCACAUCUAGGCUUUGUGGCUACUAAAACACACGAUAGAAGAGAGACAUGUAAGCCAUUCUGGCUAUGUAAAGACUUCCCCCAAAAUCCAUAUAAAAGAACCAAUAUUCAUUUCUUUCAGAACUGGUUUCUCGACAUAAACAAUCAUUCUUUGCAAAGAUAGUUGGAGCUAUCCACCAACCACUCAACAACUUAAAUUCAAAUUGAUGAUUACCUUGUACCCCAAAACACACAAUUCACACUCCUCUUAGAAACAUCCUCAAUCAAGCAUAUAUAACAAUAUUAUUGUACUAAAACUCAACCAGGAAAAACAUGGUGAAAACAACAUAGGCAUACUUGUAUAUCACAAGCAUAGUAACAACUUCAAUCUCACAAAUGACCAGCGAUAUCAACCGCAUUAAUAAAACAAUAUCAAAUUUUCAGAAAUAAAUUAUAUCAAGCAUUAAGCCAUAAACAACUUACCACAUCACCGUAAAGGAAUCGGGAGGGGUGAAAUUAUUGUCAUCUGCACUUCAAAGUCACUAAUAUAUCAAAGAUACUUGAACCCAUACCCUUCCUAUAUGUGCAAGUGUGUCAAAUUUAUCUUCAAAUUGCCAAGAAUCUAAAGCCUAAGCUUUGAUACCAAUUGUAACACCCCGGGAUCCACAAACACCCCAGAAUGCUACUAAACUACACUUCUAACAUUCGUAUAUAAAAUUUCGACAACAUAUCCUUUGAAAAUUGCAUAAACGGGGAAGCAACAAAGUAUAAAUAGAUAUCAUGAUAAGAAAACAUAAUCGACAUUAAUAAUCUGCUAGCAAUGGGAAGACAACCAUAACAGCAUGAACUAAAUUAACCAGUGCGCACAACUAGUUAGAAACAAACAUCCUUUGACAAGAAGCUUCUAAUUAAAUCAUGAUUGCGCCUAAGCAGCGUUAUUAUGAGAGUGAAAGUGGAUGUGCUGCUACUUCCCACUUCCCUGGAUGAGCAACAAGCACCUGCAUAGAGUAAUGCAAGAGUGAGAUGAAACAUCUCAGCAAGCGAAUUGUUUUGACAAGAUAUUUAAACCACAAAUUGAAUUAAUAAACAUUUUAAAAGAAUCACAAUUAAGAUCAGAAAUACUUGUAGAUAUAGAACUCAGUAGUCCCAAUAUAACCAAUACCAUCUCAUUUCCUCGAACAACCACAAUAGGUUCUAUAACACUUCCCUGCGUCAACAAAACCUGCAAAUAUCACUUCAAUGUAUGCAUAGGAGUGCAAAGUGUAGGUACUCUAUCUUCAUACCUCUGAGGGUAUAAAACCACAUCAUCUGCAAAUAUCACUUCAAUGAAUGCAUAUGAAUGCAAUGCAUAUGUCCUCUGCCUUCAUACCUCUAAGGGUAUGAAGCCGCAUCGUACCCCUCCUCGGGCAACGUACGAUGCUAAGUUGUACCGGUACGGUCGGACCAUAGGUCACGACCCAACUUCAUAUGCAAGUGAAUCAUGCAAUGUAUAUGGCAUGCUGCAUUUAUCAAUAUACUUCACUUCCUUCACAUACAAUACAACCUCAAAUAAUACUUCAUUUACCUUCAGAUACAAUACCAACCUCAAAUAAUACUUCAUUUACCUUCAGAUACAAUACCAACCUCAAAUAAUACUUUAUUUACCUUCAGGGGUGUGAAUUAAUCUCAUGAGUCAUACUCGAAUCAUAAUCAUCAUCAAUAUAUGAUUGAGCAUCAGCAUAAUGCAAGCAAGUAAAGAAUCACCAUAGAGUCCAAUUAUGAAAAAAUCCAAUACUUCUGAAUAUUAGAGUGUAGGCAAUAGAAAUAACAGGUUAGACCGGAAGCAACCACCGCUACAUUCACUUGCCUUCAUCGAAGAAGAAAAAUGUACUAGGCAUGAUCUGGAGUGUAGCCACCUAGGGUUUCCUCAAGAAAAUCUGCAAGAGAUGGGGGUAGAACAUCUCCUUGAUCCUCUCUUCCUCUUCAAUCCAUCUUGCUCCUCCUCUUCUCGAUCCUUGCUGCGUGGGGGGAGAUCUAGAGGGAGGAGGAAGCAGUGGAGGACGGCUGCAAGGGGAAGGGGG
rnacentral:lncRNA from 1 species